ensembl:lncRNA
UAUUAGCUAACUCUAGCAUAUCUCCCUCUUCUGACUCAAUGCUUUACUGCUUGCACGGACACGCAAGGGCGUACACGUCUUUGUCAUGGAAUGCUUCCAGAAGUAUGGCAAGAUAUAGGGAUUCUACGAUGGCCGGCAGCCUGUGAUGGGUUUGAUGGACACGGCUAUGAUCAACUCCUUGAUCACCUCCUCUAAAAUGCCGUGGAGUUCUCUUUGCUUCACCAUGACCAAGACUGAGCACACCCUAGAGGUGAACCCCCUGCGCUCCAUGAGCUUCACUGGGUGGCUCUGAUGGGAGGGAUUCGCUGUAGUCUGAGUGUUUGCGGAUGUGUCCGUUGAGUCCACGUCAUCCUCUAGGUCACUGUUCUGUGAGUAAUCAUACAAAAAAUGGGCGCAGCUUCAGGGUUGGGGAAUAUAAAUGACAUCUUCAAGUCACAACUCAAAACUCACCUGUUCAAACUCGCACACAACGUCUAACUGAUCACUGUUUUGAUUGUUUGUUUGUUUUGUUUUUCUUUGUUUUUGUUUUAUUUAUUUUUUAAUUAUUAUGUUUAUUAUUUAUUUAUUUAUUUAUUUUUUCACAAUGUCUUGUUUUUUUAAACGAUUUAUGAUGACUAUAUGCUCUGUAAG